AUUGAACGCUGGCGGCAUGCCUUACACAUGCAAGUCGAACGGCAGCACGGGUGCUUGCACCUGGUGGCGAGUGGCGAACGGGUGAGUAAUACAUCGGAACAUGUCCUGUAGUGGGGGAUAGCCCGGCGAAAGCCGGAUUAAUACCGCAUACGAUCUACGGAUGAGAGCGGGGGACCUUCGGGCCUCGCGCUAUAGGGUUGGCCGAUGGCUGAUUAGCUAGUUGGUGGGGUAAAGGCCUACCAAGGCGACGAUCAGUAGCUGGUCUGAGAGGACGACCAGCCACACUGGAACUGAGACACGGCCCAGACUCCUACGGGAGGCAGCAGUGGGGAAUUUUGGACAAUGGGCGAAAGCCUGAUCCAGCAAUGCCGCGUGUGUGAAGAAGGCCUUCGGGUUGUAAAGCCCUUUUGUCCGGAAAGAAAUCCUUCGGCCUAAUACGGUGGGGGGAUGACGGUACCGGAAGAAUAAGCACCGGCUAACUACGUG
rnacentral:rRNA from 1 species